AUUGAACGCUGGCGGCAGGCCUAACACAUGCAAGUCGAGCGGAUGAAGGGAGCUUGCUCCUGGAUUCAGCGGCGGACGGGUGAGUAAUGCCUAGGAAUCUGCCUGGUAGUGGGGGAUAACGUCCGGAAACGGGCGCUAAUACCGCAUACGUCCUGAGGGAGAAAGUGGGGGAUCUUCGGACCUCACGCUAUCAGAUGAGCCUAGGUCGGAUUAGCUAGUUGGUGGGGUAAAGGCCUACCAAGGCGACGAUCCGUAACUGGUCUGAGAGGGUGAUCAGUCACACUGGAACUGAGACACGGUCCAGACUCCUACGGGAGGCAGCAGUGGGGAAUAUUGGACAAUGGGCGAAAGCCUGAUCCAGCCAUGCCGCGUGUGUGAAGAAGGCCUUCGGAUUGUAAAGCACUUUAAGUUGGGAGGAAGGGCAGUAAGUUAAGACCUUGCUGUUUGGACGUGACCAACAGAAGAAGCACCGGCUAACUUCGU
rnacentral:rRNA from 1 species